rnacentral:rRNA from 1 species
AACGAACGCUGGCGGCAUGCCUAACACAUGCAAGUCGAACGAGACCUUCGGGUCUAGUGGCGCACGGGUGCGUAACGCGUGGGAACCUGCCCUUAGGUUCGGAAUAACUCCCCGAAAGGGGUGCUAAUACCGGAUAAUGUCUUCGGACCAAAGAUUUAUCGCCUUUGGAUGGGCCCGCGUUGGAUUAGCUAGUUGGUAGGGUAAAAGCCUACCAAGGCGACGAUCCAUAGCUGGUCUGAGAGGAUGAUCAGCCACACUGGGACUGAGACACGGCCCAGACUCCACGGGAGGGAGGAGGGGGGGAAAAUUGAACAAGGGCGGAAAGCCUGACCCGCCAUGGCGGGGUGGGUGAGAAGGGCUUUAGGUUGGAAAGGCUCUUUUCCCGGGAAGAAUAAUAACGGAACGGGAGAAUAAGCUCCGGCUAACUCCGUG